GCCAUGCCCUUCACUCGUAGGAAAGGGUUCAACUAUAAUAUCUAACGUUAUAAUAUAUUAUGUACCUAGAAUUUUAUUGUGAGAGAAGAUCAAGAUGGCUCUUGUUAGAAUUUUUUCAUGCACUUUUAACCAGCAAAUAAAGCUCAAUAUUUAAAGCAUAUUGCAUUUAAAAUUGGAUAAGAAGCAACCGCAAUGAAUGAGAAUAAUUAUUUGUGAGUUAUUAUAGUGCGUAAAAAAUCUUUGUUUGGCAAAUGGCCGAACUUAUAUUAAGCCUUAUAUUAACUGAAUAAAUUCAUCAAAAUUUGUUUGCUGAAAAGCAGACAGCGUGUUUAAAUCUGUAAUAAAUUUUUUAAAGAAUGUACGACAUUUCAAAACAUUAUCAAAAAUAUAAAAAUUGUUUUAUUAUUACGUUGAGUAUCUGUGAAAUUUGAGCAUAAUUUUCAUAUUGAUUAAAAAAAUUUCCUGUUUGUUUUUGAUUCUUAUAUAAAAAUCGGAUUUUGCAAAUUUAAGAAAAUAGCAUUAUGAAUUAAAUUCAAUUUUUUACAUAUACUAACAAUAUUAAUAAAUAUUCAUGCAGUAAAAAUUUGUUUUGAUCCACUUAUUUAGAAAUGGUUUACCAAAAAUUGCAGUUAAAUAGUGUAAUUUUUGCUUCGUAAGCUGUUAUAAACUAAAAUUUUCAUUGUUUUGUUUUUUGCAACUGUUUUCACGGUUAAAAUUCAGGCAUUUACGAUCAAAACUUUGUCGUUGAUAAAAA